CAUGUCUUUUUGAUUAUAAUUUAAAGUCUGACCUGCCCUCUGAUGAUAAUUGAAUGGCCGCGAUAAUUUGAUCGUGCAAAGGUAGCAUAAUCAUUAGUUUUUUAAUUGAGAACUGGAAUGAAAGGUCGAACAAGAAAAAAGCUGUCUCAAUUUAAUUUUAAUUAGAAAUUUAUUUUUAAGUAAAAAAGCUUAAAUGUUUUUAAAAGACGAGAAGACCCUAUAGAGUUUUAUAUUUAAAAAUUUAUUUUUUAGUUUAAGAAUUUUAAUUUAAAAUUAUUGUUUAAAUAUUUGGUUGGGGUGAUUGGAAAAUUUAAUGAACUUUUUUUUUGUAUUUACAUUGAUAUAUGAAUAAUUGAUCCAUAUUUUAUGAUUAUAAGAUUAAAUUACCUUAGGGAUAACAGCGUAAUUUUUUUUGAGAGUUCUUAUCGAAAAAAAAGUUUGCGACC
rnacentral:rRNA from 1 species